UCCCUGGUGGUCUAGUGGUUAGGAUUUGGCGCUCUCACCGCCGUGGCCCGGGUUCGAUUCCCAGUCAGGGAA
rnacentral:tRNA from 1 species